ACCGAGAAGGGUGACUACGACACCAAGCUCCGUUCGGCACAUGCGUUCAUCGAAGAUGGCGACAAGGUUAAGGUCACCGUCCGGUAUCGUGGUCGCGAAAUGGCCCACCAAGAGUUGGGCAUGCAGUUGAUGGACCGCGUCCGCAAAGACCUCGAAGAGGUCGCCGUGGUCGAGCAGUACCCCAAGAUGGAAGGUCGUCAGGCCGUCAUGGUCCUGUCGGGCAAGAAGCGCUAGGCGCAAGCCUGGACGCGAACCGGCCGUGGUGGCCGGUUCCAUAAGAAGUCCCGUCUAAGCGGUUUA
rnacentral:misc_RNA from 1 species